GACGAACGCUGGCGGCGUGCUUAACACAUGCAAGUCGAACGGAAAGGCCCUGCUUUUGUGGGGUGCUCGAGUGGCGAACGGGUGAGGAACACGUGAGUAACCUGCCCUUGACUUUGGGAUAACUUCAGGAAACUGGGGCUAAUACCGGAUAGGAGCUCCUGCUGCAUGGUGGGGGGUGGAAAGUUUCGGCGGUUGGGGAUGGACUCGCGGCUUAUCAGCUUGUUGGUGGGGUAGUGGCUUACCAAGGCUUUGACGGGUAGCCGGCCUGAGAGGGUGACCGGCCACAUUGGGACUGAGAUACGGCCCAGACUCCUACGGGAGGCAGCAGUGGGGAAUAUUGCACAAUGGGCGGAAGCCUGAUGCAGCAACGCCGCGUGCGGGAUGACGGCCUUCGGGUUGUAAACCGCUUUCGCCUGUGACGAAGCGUGAGUGACGGUAAUGGGUAAAGAAGCACCGGCUAACUACGUG
rnacentral:rRNA from 1 species